rnacentral:rRNA from 1 species
GUCUCCGUAGGUGAACCUGCGGAGGGAUCAUUACACAAUAACCAGGCGGGCUGGACACCCCCCGCUGGGCACUGCUUCACGGCGUGCGCGGCGGGGCCGGCCCUGCUGAAUUAUUCACCCGUGUCUUUUGCGUACUUCUUGUUUCCUGGGUGGGCUCGCCCGCCCUCAGGACCAACCACAAACCUUUUGCAAUAGCAAUCAGCGUCAGUAACAACGUAAUUAAUUACAACUUUCAACAACGGAUCUCUUGGUUCUGGCAUCGAUGAAGAACGCAGCGAAAUGCGAUAAGUAGUGUGAAUUGCAGAAUUCAGUGAAUCAUCGAAUCUUUGAACGCACAUUGCGCCCUUUGGUAUUCCAAAGGGCAUGCCUGUUCGAGCGUCAUUUGUACCCUCAAGCUUUGCUUGGUGUUGGGCGUCUUGUCUCUAGCUUUGCUGGAGACUCGCCCUAAAGUAAUUGGCAGCCGGCCUACUGGUUUCGGAGCGCAGCACAAGUCGCACUCUCUAUCAGCAAAGGUCUAGCAUCCAUUAAGCCUUUUUUUCAACUUUUGACCUCGGAUCAGGUAGGGAUACCCGCUGAACUUA